rnacentral:rRNA from 1 species
CUGAACCAGCCAAGUAGCGUGAAGGAUGACUGCCCUAUGGGUUGUAAACUUCUUUUAUACGGGAAUAAAGUGAGGCACGUGUGUCUUUUUGUAUGUACCGUAUGAAUAAGGAUCGGCUAACUCCGUGCCAGCAGCCGCGGUAAUACGGAGGAUCCGAGCGUUAUCCGGAUUUAUUGGGUUUAAAGGGAGCGUAGGCGGACGCUUAAGUCAGUUGUGAAAGUUUGCGG